rnacentral:rRNA from 1 species
ACUGAACGCUGGCUGCAGGCCUAACACAUGCAAGUCGAACGAGUGGCGGACGGGUGAGUAAUGUCUGGGAAACUGCCUGAUGGAGGGGGUUAACUACUGGAAACGGUAGCUAAUACCGCAUACCAUCGGAUCUGCCCAUAUGGGAUUAGCUAGUAGGUGGGGUAAAGGCUCACCUAGGCGACGAUCCCUAGCUGGUCUGAGAGGAUGACCAGCCACACAGGAACUGAAACACGGGCCAGACUCCUACGAGAGGCAGCAGUGGGGAAUAUUGCACAAUGGGCGCAAGCCUGAUGCAGCCAUGCCGAGUGUAUGAAGAAGGCCUUCGGGUUGUAAAGUACUUUCAGCGGGGAGGAGUUACCCGCAGAAGAAGGACCGACUAACACCGUGCCAGCAGCCGCGGUAAUAC